rnacentral:rRNA from 1 species
AUUGAACGCUGGCGGCAUGCCUUACACAUGCAAGUCGAACGGUAACGGGCCUUCGGGUGCCGACGAGUGGCGAACGGGUGAGUAAUGUAUCGGAACGUACCUUUCAGUGGGGGAUAACGUAGCGAAAGUUACGCUAAUACCGCAUAUUCUGUGAGCAAGAAAGCAGGGGAUCGCAAGACCUUGCGCUGAUUGAGCGGCCGAUAUCAGAUUAGCUAGUUGGUGAGGUAAAGGCUAAAUAAGGGGAAGAUCUGUAGCGGGUCUGAGAGGAUGAUCCGCCACACUGGAACUGAGACACGGUCCAGACUCCUACGGGAGGCAGCAGUGGGGAAUUUUGGACAAUGGGGGCAACCCUGAUCCAGCCAUGCCGCGUGAGUGAAGAAGGCCUUCGGGUUGUAAAGCUCUUUCGGCCGGGAGGAAAUCGCGCCAGUUAAUACCUGGUGUGGAUGACGGUACCGGAAUAAGAAGCACCGGCUAACUACGUGCCAGCAGCCGCCGUAACAC